GUCUACUUCCUUGUGCCUGACGUCAUCACGCACGUCGUUACGUGUCAGUGGGCGCGGUCUCGCAAAACUUGUUAUUGGGAGUGGCGUACAGAAAAUAGAAACUGCGCCAUCAGGAGCAAUGCGCGUUCAUGUGGAUUUGGCGGGCUGCCUGGCUGCAGCGGGCACUCUCACAGCGCUGGGCCCACACUGCUCCCCUGGGUACUUUAUCCCUCAGUUCAGUCGGAUGCUGGGAGGGAUGCACCACAAAGAUGCGCUGCAGCGGCUGCCGGUUACUCUGCUUCAUGAUAUGAUCAUCGAGGGACUGAACAUCUCGUGCCCAGUGGCAUUCUGACUCCCAUCAUGCACAGUACCAUCAUGGAGAACACAUUUAUAUCCCACGGGUGUAUCAAACACAAUGGGAAUAGAGACACCAAGUGACAGAAAUGCUAAUGUAGCUAAUGUAGAGUCUGAUUCUGAACUAAGUGGAGCAGAGCAAAACAAAUAUGAAGAAAAUGGAAAUGUGGCAGAAUCUUCUAUUACUGAAGCCAGACUUCACUCCAAAGCAAAGCGCCGCCUGAGGAAGAAUUCCCCCCGGGACUCGGGGAGAGGCGAGUUCGGGGGAGUUCCAGAAAUCUGUCUUGCCCUGCCCCCGCCUUUCCCUGGUAGGGAGCAGAAGUUUUCUCUGGAGCCUCUGGAGGUAAAGAAGGGCCAGAACUAGGGGUAACUAGGCAGAAAGGGUUUGUGUUGUGCCCCCCAAGUGUUGCCCCCUAGGCACGUGCCCCUUGUGCCUUCCCCUAGUUCCGGCCCUGCCCAUAGGCUUCUUUUCCCCCUGGUUCUCCCCUUUGUGGGUGGGAGAGAUAGACAGACUGCAGCCCUGUUCAACAUGAGCCAAUGAAUGGGGCUUGUACUGAACAUUCCUUUUGCCUAUAUGAAGCCGCUUUCACUUUAGCACUUCCUUGAUAAACCUAUGUACAGUGGGCAUGGAACUGUUCAGUAGCCUCUGGGGUUCAUAUU